AUGCAAGUCGAACGGUAGCAGCAGAGAGCUUGCUCUCUGGCUGACGAGUGGCGGACGGGUGAGUAAGGCAUCGGGACCUGCCCUGUUGUGGGGGAUAACCCGGGGAAACCCGGACUAAUACCGCAUACGCCCUACGGGGGAAAGCGGGGGACUCUUCGGAGCCUCGCGCGGCAGGAUGGACCGAUGUACGAUUAGCUUGUUGGUGGGGUAACGGCCUACCAAGGCGACGAUCGUUAGCUGGUCUGAGAGGAUGAUCAGCCACACCGGGACUGAGACACGGCCCGGACUCCUACGGGAGGCAGCAGUGGGGAAUAUUGGACAAUGGGGGAAACCCUGAUCCAGCAAUGCCGCGUGUGUGAAGAAGGCCUUCGGGUUGUAAAGCACUUUUAUCGGGAACGAAACCUUGUCGGCCAAUACCCGGCAAGACUGACGGUACCCGAGGAAUAAGCACCGGCUAACUCCGUGCCAGCAGCCGCGGUAAUACGGAGGGUGCAAGCGUUGAUCGGAAUUACUGGGCGUAAAGGGUGCGUAGGUGGUGAGUUAAGUCUGAUGUGAAAGCCCCGGGCUCAACCUGGGAAUGGCAUUGGAAACUGGCUCGCUGGAGUGUGAUAGAGGAUGGCGGAAUUCCCGGUGUAGCGGUGAAAUGCGUAGAGAUCGGGAGGAACAUCAGUGGCGAAGGCGGCCAUCUGGAUCAACACUGACACUGAGGCACGAAAGCGUGGGGAGCAAACAGGAUUACAUACCCUGGUAGUCCACGCCCUAAACGAUGCGAACUGGAUGUAGGUCUCAACUCGGAGAUCUGUGUCGAAGCCAACGCGUUAAGUUCGCCGCCUG
rnacentral:rRNA from 1 species